ensembl:misc_RNA Metazoa_SRP Metazoan signal recognition particle RNA
GCCGGGUGCGGUGGCGCGGUCCUGUAGUCCCAGCUACUCCGGAGGCUGAGGUGGGAGGAUCCCUUGAGCCCAGGAGUUCUGAGCUGUAGUCCGCUAUGCCGAUCGGGUGUCCGCACUAAGUUUGGCAUCAACAUGGUGACCUCCCGGGAGUGGGGGACCACCAGGAUGCCUAAGGAGAGGUGAACCGGCCCAGGUCGGAAAUGGAGCAGGUGAAACCUACCGUGCUAAUCAGUAGUGGGAUCUCGCCUGUGAAUAGCCACUACACUCCAGCCUGGGCAACAUAGCGAGACCCCAUCUCUA